CACCUCCUCUGCCGCAGCUUACGUGAAGGUUAGCAUGGACGGCGCACCGUACCUAAGAAAAAUUGAUUUGAAACUUUACAAAACAUAUCAAGACCUCUCCGACGCCUUAAGCAAAAUGUUCAGCUCUUUUACCCUAGGUAAAUAUAAAAGACGACAAUAUCUAUAUUAAAAACUUAAACUCGUUAUUUAAUUUUUUUUAUAAAAAAUUCAGGCAACUAUGGACCACAAGGAAUGAAAGAUUUUAUGAACGAGAGUAGGUUGAUCGAUCUUUUGAACGGAUCAGAUUACGUUCCAACUUAUGAAGAUAAAGAUGGAGACUGGAUGCUUGUAGGAGACGUACCGUGGGGGUGAGUGUUAUUAUAUAUAAGCUAAUAAGCAUAUAUUAUAUGUUUACAUAAUUUAGUAUUUUUUUGUUGCAACUAAACACAUAUAUUUGCUUACGUUUCAUUUGUAUUAUUUUUUUAGGAUGUUUGUUGAUUCAUGCAAACGCAUAAGAAUAAUGAAGGGAUCAGAAGCAAUCGGACUUGGUUAGUAUUUUCAAUCCAGAAUUUACUGUGCACUCUUAAGAUUAUGUGCACUUUUGUUAAUACUAUUAUCAAUUGACUGCAGCUCCAAGGGCAUUAGAAAAGUGCAAGAACAGAAGCUGAGAGCUCUAAGAAAAUGACCGGUUCGAUCCGGUUGGAUAUCUCAAACCGAGAAAAGCCAAACCGGCUCGAAACUACUGUUACGAGCAGGGAGUUUGCGUAUAAUAUUCAUAAAUAAUAAUUAAUAUUGUGGUGUAUUACAUUUUAUAAACUCAAACCCUUUUUGUUAUAUGUAUAAUAUUAUAUACAUAUAUGAAUAUGUAUAUUAGGUGGCAUCUAUGUAUUUCCGCUUUGAACACCUUUUGUUUUUACGCAUUAUUGUAUUGUCUAUAUGGUUACGUAUCCGUAAGACAUCUUAAUGUGUUACUUUGACGUGACAAAGUAUCAUUCACGUUUAGUGUAUUACAUUACUAUUUUUCAUUUCAGCGGAUCGUUAAAUGACUUGAAAAUGUUAAUGGUCGUAAACCGAUAAAUUAAAUUUAAUAAUUUCUUCAAUCAUUUUCGUAUGUAUUUCCUAAUUCCUAUUGGUGUUCUUGAGUAUUACAUAUAUCAUUUUUGGUCUUUCUUCGUUGAACCACAUAUGAAAACUUUAAAUAGAUCAAGGUGAUGUGCGAUAGUGGACUGUGCAAGAGCAUGUGCAUAAUCCGAUAAUGUAGAGUUGUUGGGGGACAAUAUAUUAAUGAAUCACAAAUAAAAUUAACAAUGUCUUUAAUAUGCAUGCUCCAUUAUUGAUGAUGUACGCUGUCAUCCAUCGCUUAAAAAAACAAUAGGUGACAACGAUGAUAUUUGUUUUAUCUAUUUCUUGUUAAUUUAUCUUACUCUGGAUUAAUACACCAAGAACAAAUAGUAAUUUAGUUGUAAAACUAACCUAACCACAUAUAUAUAUCUGUACAAUUAGCCAACAAAAAAAGUUUUCCCGAAUAGCUGUUUCAAAAUAUAUAGCUGCUUACAGACAAAAGAAUAACUGAAAAUUAACAAAGAGAACUAGAUUCCGAUCCACCAUUUUUAAGGAUGGAUAUAUCUUUUGUUUUACACAAUUUAGAAAUUUAAUUUUUUAUAAUUUAAUUUAAUCAUAUUUGUAUUUUUUUUUGUAUAAUAUUUUUUUUAAAUAAUUAAUAAGAGAUUUUAAUAAUUAUAUUAAAAUAGUUGAAAUACACAUAUAUUGCUGUUUUAAUAGAAUAGAUUAGAUUACAUCCGCUAUAUAUUGCUGUUUUAAUAGAAUAGAUUAGGUUACAUCAAGCGGAGUAGAAAAAAAAAAUCAAGGUUUUGCUAUAAAGUUGAAUUGAGAUCAAUAUUGAUAGAUCGAGCAUAUUCCUAUAAUGAUACCAAGUACGAACCAAGGCAAGCACCGUUACAUAUGCUUCACUCAAGAAGAAAGGAGAUUAGGUUAAACUAUGAAUUGAAUAUGAAUAGAAAAGCAGAGAUAACUCUUUUAAUGUAUAUGCAUGCAAUAUCAUAGUUUAAACCAUUGCGGUAAACAUGGAUAAUUCUUUUAAUUUGGCAGAUCUGGAUUGUAGGUACAAAUAUUUUACUGAAUUUUUAUUUAAAAUGAUAAGGCUCUUGUAUACAUUUAUAGAGAGAGAGAGAUGCAUUAGACCACCAACAAAAAACUUAUCGAUCAUGAAGACCGGACUUAGCAUAACCAUCAUACUGUUAUCAUACACGGUGGCUGGUACGGACUUCCAAGCCGGAAGUCAGACUUGGGAAGCGGGGCUAGGGUCCAAGGAGCUAGUGCGUUGAACAUACGCGCCACCUACCAUUUCUAUAACCCUGAGCAGAAUAACUGGGAUCUGAUGGCCGUGACUCGUGAGUGCUUAUUGCUCCACGUGGGAUGCUGAUAAAACCAUACGCGUGGCAGUGUAGGUAUGGCUGGACCGCCUUCUGCACACCGGUUGGUCCUCAGGGUCAUGAUUCUUGCGGCAAUGCUUGAGGGUAUACGAUUAUGAUUUUGUAUAUAUUCUUUUUACUAGGGUAUGCGUUAUAUAUUUAUAACAAAAUGAUUUUAGUUAUAAAUAUCACAAACAAAACUGCAAUAGAUAAUUUAAUAUUGAAAUUUGCUUGUCAAUAUAUAUUUUUUCUUUUGAAAAUCAUAUGUAUUUUUAUAAAAAUUCAACCUGUCCCCCUUGUAUAUUAGAUAAUAUAUACGAAAGCUUAAUGACAUCAAUGUUAGUGUGUUAGUGAAUUUGAAGGUAUCAUAUAUAAGCCGGAGUUUUACUGUAACUAAUCAAAGCCGGAUUUUUUAAAGGUAAUCAUAGACUGGUUUUAAACAACCGGUGUGAUGAACUUUUGGUUCUAACUUGAUGGAGGUGAGGAACGUCAUGACGAAUGCAGUAGUAACGGUGAGAAUAGUGGACCUUUACAAAAGAUUGGAUAACGAUGGUGUUGGCUAUGAGCAAGGUCAACUCAUUGUUGACUAUGAAUUUGUUGACUGUGACGAUGAACUAAUUAAUCAGCCUGGUCAUUCUUAAAACAUCCUUGUUUCGGCCAUUGAUCGCGUUUGAUAUUAAUCGUUUUAGAGGUCAAGAUCUAUCUACACUAUAUAAUAAAAAGGCCUAUGUUGUGUUGUUCUUGGUGGUUUUCAAGAUAUUUGGCUCAAAAGAUCAAAAGAAUUUCUCACUUUUUUAUUACACAAUCCAAGACCAUAUCAAAAUCUUUUUGGUAUAUACAGUUUAUGAACAAGAAAGGCUUUAUUGUUUCUUAUCUUUUGUUCUCUUUACACAAAGUAUAUACACAGCCAUAAAGUGAUUCUCUUACUUCCCAUCCUUUAAAAGAAAAUCUUACAAUCACAUAUACACUUAUCAAUAUGUCUGCAUCACAGAACAUGCAACUGCUUGUGCCCAAUGUCUCAAUCUCUGCUUCACUUGUUGCGGAUUGUCCCCUAACAAAAAACAUCCAAAAAAACUAACACUCAGUUUCAUGACUUUCAUCAUAAAUGUUUAGCUCUCUUUUUUUACCUGGACACACGAUCUUUAAUGAAUCUGAAUCAGUUUUCUUCGGGCUACAUGGUAUAUUCAUCGAGAAAGCUGAUGCAGAUGCGCUGCUGCUACGGCUACUGCUAGGUGAAGCCAGAGGUGAGAGGUGACGAUUCACUGCAAAGUAAAGAUCAAGAGCUGGUAAUGUAUUGCAAAGCUUUUGUCCUGCUUCUUCAUUGAAACCAAAACCUAGCUCAAUGGAUCCUUUAAGCUCGUUUAAAUCCUCAUCGGUUAGUUUCUUCUGUUCACUAAGAUUGUCUGAAACGCGCAUCUUCUUCUCUUGAAUCAUUAUCAUCUGACGUUUUCUUCUUUCCCAAGCAAUGUCUCUUGGUGACUCACACAUAGAUAGUUGUUUUGUUAACCGUUGUUUUGGUUUCUGUGAGGCUAAAGGCGUUGUUGCCGCCGUUUUGACCUCUCGAAGCGCCGGUGUUGAGACCGAAAAUGUAAGGUUUUCUCUUAUUCUCACCAUCUUUUAUAUAUAUCACUUGACGUGUAUAUCAAGCUAAUAUGUUAUGAGAUGUGGCUUGUGAAUGCAAACUAGGGUUCUUCUUUCUUGGUUCUUGUGGGUUUUGUUUAAUGUAUGUUCUUUGUGAGAUGGCCGCGUUAGAACAUGUUACGCGGCCAACAAAGAGGUUAAAGUGGGUCGGGUUGAUCAGAUAUGUCUUGUUUAUUACGCUCUUUCUCUAGUUAGGUUUUGCCCAACCCGACCAGAGAUAAACUUUUAGGAGACUCGAGGUGCUUUAAUGGAGGAUAGUAAGUUAGUUUCCACCACUGAUAUAUGCAAUGGAUAGAGUCCAAAAGCUAUUUUCCUCCAUUGUUUUAAUUAGAGACUUCUUUGUUUAGAUCAAUGACCAUACCAAUAAAAGAGUUUUAGACGUAAUCUUAGUAUAUCUCAAUCAUGUCAAACUUUCAAAACUUUUUUACAAUUUUUGAAACAAUAUGGUAUGUGAGUUUCUAUUUUUAAAUAUUGAAUUCAUGCUGUAAUCUUUUUAAUAUCUCUAACCAUAUGCUAAACAUAGCUGUUCAAGUAAUCUUUUCCUCCAUGUAUUCUCUUACUACUUCUGCUUCUCUUUCAGACAGAACAACAAAGAACGAGAAAACACCAACAUCAGUGACCUCAUUGCGUAGAAGACAAGCCAGACAAAACGAUAAAAUAGAAAGCGAAGAAGAGCCUUUACUCAAAGCUGCAUUCAUCUUUUCCUCUUUAUUUGUGCUUAGAUACUUAUAGAAUAUCUUUUUUUUGUCAAAACUUAUAGAAUAUCUAUGUAAUGGAAUUGCUGUAAAUUCCUAAUAAGAAUCGGAUCCAAAGAAUAUUAGGAUGUUCUGUCUACUCAAGCUGAAUAUUAACCUGUUAUGUGAUACUCCAAGGAAUAUGAUGUAAAGGUUUAGCAUGGUAAGUAUUUGGUUACCACUUUUGAAUAGGAAGGAAUCUUGAUAAAAGAUAACCCAUCCAGGUUUAAAAAAGAAAAUGCAAUAAGAUACUUUUGUUCUAUAAUAGCCUCAUAUUUGAACCACCUACUCAUUUAUAAAUACAGAAACUCUUCAUCAUGUGGCUAAAAGUAUUUACUAGACUUAUCAUUGUGAUGAUCACCAAACAAGAACAAGAAAAAACUGUAAAAAAAAAAACAAUAGAAUUGAAAUAUAAAUAUAUACCGUUACACAUUAAAUACAAAAACUCCUAAGCAUUGGACUAAUCAUUGUGAUAAUCAUAAAACAAGAACAAGAAAAAAGCAGUAAGAAACAAAAAUAAUAAUAAUGGAGACGUGUUGAAAUCUGUACCGUUACUUUGCUUUAAAUUUUUAAUUUUAAAUGAAUAAAGCAGGUGUGAACCUUACAGAGUGCUCUGUGUUUGACUCUGAGACCGCGAUGACCACCUCUCUGCUCUAAUGUCUUUACUGUAAUUACUAAUUAUAUAAAAUUUGUUUACACAACUUUAGCUUUUGUCUGUUUGAAGAUUAUGAUCUUUUUGUGUAUUUUAAAAUGUGUGUAAUGGGUGUGGUGGUGGAGGGAAUUUUUAAGUAAAAAGAAAAGUCCAACUCUACCCCACCCACAAAGUGGAGAAAGCAAAAGUCAUAACCUUUGACACCUUUCUCAACCCAUCUCUAUCUAUCUCACAAACCAACAAACAACACAGGAACAAUAUCUCUCUUUUAUUUUAAUGUCCUAAUCUCCCCUGGGUGAUUUCUUCUUAGCUCAUUAUCUAAUUUUGAUCUUCAGGGUUUCUUGUCAUGCAAUUCUUUGUGUAGUUUUCCUUCUUAUGAGCUAACCUUGUAUAGACAAAAGAUCUCACCUUUUUGCUCUUGAAUUGAGAGAGUUUCUAUAUUUACUCAGUGCUCUUCCUGUGAAGUGAUUUGGAAAGAUUCAGCCAGUUGAGGAAGGAACUUAUGGUGAUUGGGGUUUCUCAUAGAGUGUUGAGGUGUUGAAGUUCUUGAUUUGGUCUAAUUAGCUUUAAAUGUUACAUUCUUUUUCAUGACUGAUCGGUUUAUUAGAUUCAUUAGGAUUUUGAGUUUUGAUAUUUUAUUCUCUUGGCUCUCUAGUUAGAUUUUUAGUGUUGUGAACUGAGGAAUCAGGGUUUUAUUGUUCUAUCAUCUUAAGCUUGGGUGGAAUAAUAUAAAAUAAAAAUGGAGGAAGUUGAAGCUGCUAGCAAGUUAGCUAUAGAAAGCUGUCAUGGAGUCUUAACCCUCUUGUCACAACAGCAAACCAGUUGUGAUUCCAAAUCUCUAAUGGUUGAAACAAGAGAAGUAGUUUCCAAGCUCAAGAGAGUAGCCUCUCUUUUAACCAAAGGGUCAGGUCAUGGAAAGUUUAGAAGAACCAACAACAACAAGUUUAGUCCAUCUUUUCCUCAGCAUAUCUUCUUGGAGAGCCCUAUUUGCUGUGGCAAUGAUGAGAGUAGUGAUUACACUCAAGUUCUUGCACCUGAGCCUCUUCAGAUGGUUCCAGCUUCUGAUGAGAUUGACCCAAGAUACCAAUUGGGUCACCCACUUAGCCACAGAUGGCCACCGCCUUUUCGAGCUCCUUAUCAGAAAAUAGCUUACUCUAGAAGCAACAGCGGUGGUGUAAACCUAACGUUUGAUGGGUCUGCUAGUAGUUGCUAUACCCCGAGUGUAUCAAACGGAUCAAGAUCUUUUGUAUCAUCUCUUAGUAUGGAUACUAGUGUCGAUAGGAGCUCGUUCCAGUUAACCGGAUUAUCACGUGGGAAGAUGUGCUCUGGUAGUUUGAAAUGCGGAAGUAGAAGCAAAUGUCACUGUUCCAAGAAGAGGUUCGUCAAUGUUCUUUGUGACAAUGUGAUAUCAGUUAACUGUUUUGUAACGGUUUUGAGUUUAUUUACAGGAAACUAAGAGUGAAAAGAUCAAUCAAGGUGCCUGCAAUAAGCAACAAGAUUGCGGAUAUUCCUCCAGACGAGUAUUCAUGGAGGAAGUAUGGUCAGAAACCUAUCAAAGGCUCACCGCAUCCACGGUAUUUAUAUAUAUUCAUCUUUUUUUUUGGUGUCUAUAUACUCAUUUGAUUCAUGUGCAGGGGAUACUACAAGUGCAGCAGUGUGAGAGGUUGUCCUGCAAGGAAGCAUGUGGAGCGAUGUGUAGAUGAGACUUCGAUGUUAAUUGUGACUUACGAAGGUGAGCAUAACCAUUCAAGGAUAUUGUCUUCGCAAUCAGCUCACACAUGAUGGAAUCAGAGUCAGUCACUGCCUGUCCUUUUUGCUGUCUACUCUUGGAUUUGAAGAAGAAUGAUUUUGGAUUCAAGAAACUGGUCUUAGUAGUGUUGUUAGCUGUGGUUUGCAAUUGUAUAUUCCACUUUGACAUGAGUUGUAAGAGCUUUUUGUGAACUUGGAUUAUGUGGCAAUACCGACAAGCAUCAACAAUUUGGCUUCAGCUUAGCAUUUUCUUACUUAACCAAAUAAGCUUAAUUUUUAGUAUAGGUAGGAGGUGGUUGUUGGAGAUAAUCACAAAGUUAACUUGGCGAACAAGUUACACUAAUCCUAAUCGAGAUAUGUUUAGGAUAGUUAGUUUUUAUGAGUUUAGGAAAUUUAAAGUCUCUAUACAAGAAGAUGCAAGAGUUUUAGAGAUUGUGUUUUGGAGUGAUUAAGUUUUGAGUUAUUUUCUUAAGCUAAUAAAAAGAGUUCUUUAUUGUGAUCAUAUACAAUUUUUGAGACUAUAUUUGGUAUCAGAGUGCAAGAUAAGUUAAAAGCCUUACGAUGGGAGGAUCUUUGUGUCCGCAUAAUGUUCGCUGUUAGGAGGAGACGAGUGUGUGCAAGUUUGGGACCUUGAGUAGUAGCUUGGUAAACAACACACAUGAUAGCUUGCUCCUGUUUAAUCUCAAAAGCUGUCAAGUACAAAGAAGGGCUCUUCAUCAGAUUACUUCUUCUUUAACGUUUUGUGUCUGUGGUUAGAGAGAUUACAUGUAUUGUUCACAUAAUAGCCUAAAUUAUGUAAGAGUUGAAGCUGGACACUUCAUCUGUAACAAACGACAAGUUUUUUUCUCAUUUAAAAAAAAAGUUGUUACGACUUGAGGAAUUAACAAUGAACAGCCAAAGACAUGUCCCAAAAUAUCCAAGUUCCAUGUUCUGCAACAAGAAGGCCAUUCAUUUUAAGACAAACCAUUACAUACUACAAGAACACUUGGACUCACAAAAUGAAGACCAAACUUUGCUUUGUCAUUCCGUUUCUAACUCUCAUUGCGUUUCCUCUGGUGUGAUCACGAGCUUAUAUGAUUUUUUUUUUUUUUUCACUCCGUCUUCAGAGGUUGGAGAGAUUAAGAAGACCGAGUGAUUAAAGAAGGCCCACGGUUUAGGUUGUGAAUUUUGGAUGGAGGGCGGCUAAGAUAAGAUAACUUAAUUUAAAGAAACUAUCUCUAAGAAACUCGUUAAACUACGAUUAUACCCUUUUCAUUACAACCUGUAUAAAUUAAGAAGAAACACGGAACUGACAGAAAAGCAAAGAGACAGCAAUUAUGGGUUGUCGGAAAGCAUUUUUGCUUCUAUACUUUCUAUUUUUAGUCCAUAUCCACCACAACCACUCUUUUCACGCGAUCUCCGCUGCUCCAAACCAUGAAUCGAAGCCGGACGGUGAAGCUUUCAUUGGCAAAACCGCGGAAUUAUCUAUCGUUGUUAAAAAGGGUGGUGGAGGCGGCAGAGGCGGCGGAGGUGGUGGUGGACGUAGUUUUGGUGGAGGCGGACGCAGUUUCGGUGGAGGUGGAGGUGGAGGCCGCAAAGGUGGAAGAGGAGUGGUUCCGUUAGUUGGAGGUGGUGCUGCUGCUUCCCACCACCGUGGCAACCAUUCAAGCGGUGGUCGGGAAAGUGCUAGCGUUUGGUUUGGUUUAUUGACUUUACUCGGUUUGGUUUUGGGUUUUUAGGGUUUACUUAUUUUGAUUGCCGGUUUAGGUUAAAUGUUUGAUGUCGGUUUUGCUUGCUACUGGUUUGCUCUCUGGAUAUAAACACCACUCGGUUUGGUUUUGGUUUUUAGGAUUUUUUUUUUUAAUUUUGAUUGCCGGUUUAGGGUUAAAUGUUUGGUGCCGGUUUUGCUUUCCACUGUGGUUUGCUCUUUGGAUAAAAUUUCUCUUAACCGGAACUUAAUCCAUCAAUAAUCGAUUGUAAAAUAUUUUGUUUGAUUACACAUCCAAAAAAGCUCAAAAUGAUACAAAUUUUCAACAUUAGGAGUUUUCUUCAACAAUCAACAUCAAAGUUUCACGUUACAAAUAAAAAACCGAGAAAGACGGUUACAUUGUGAACCAACCAACAUAUACCGGAUAUAACCGAAAAAAACAAAGAGUCUUUGUUUUGAAUUUUAAAUUUUCUCCAGUGAGAUAUCAAAGUUAAACACAGACCAACAACAACACAAAGGCAUCAAUCAUCGUCAUUUCAAGCCUCGCAAGCUUCUUCCACGGACUCGUUGAGUGGUUUAAGCCCACUUUUACCCUUGCCUGAUCUGGAACGAGGGCUGUCGUGCACAUCAUUGGUGUUCUUGUUCUGAACUGUUCCCGUGCUGUGUCGGUUCCGGUUAGAUGCUGUCUUCGGAACCUCUUCACGGGACGAGGACGAGCUGACUGCGUCGCUGCAGCUCUUUCUCCGAGAAAGGAUGAGUUUUGGCGACUUGGGACGAGUCAAAGGCACCUAGAAAGAUACAUAACAUUAAGCUACAUUCGUCACAAGAACAAAGAUACAUAACAUAAGCUACUUUUGUCACAAGAACAAUGCUGAGCUCCAAACAUGACGAGUUAAAUAUACCUUCUUGAGUUCAGGUUUGGCAGGAGGCGCCUCGUAGUAGAAGUUGGGGACUGGUUUAGCCUUGAACUUGAGAUUUUUUCUAAGUUUUUUCAAGGCUGCUUCUUGUUCUUCCUGCAAAAAACAUUGAAUUUACCAUUUAGAUUUAGAAAAGACUGCAUCAACUAUAUGGAUUUUUACCUUUUGCCUUUGUUCAAGCUCGUUCCUUUCAGCUUCAAGCGCUUGGUUUUUCUCCUCAAGCUUUUGGUAAUACUAAACCACACAAGAAAAGAUCAAUUAAUAAACAUUAAAAAGUAGACUUUAUAUCAGUGAGUGCAAAGGUGGAAGAUUUAUAGUUACCUCUUUGCGCUGCUCAGCACGCUGAGCACUCCUAAACGUUGGAGCGCUUCCAUGAGUCACUCCGGACUUAGCCCUCCUCAAGGAAGUUGCCACGCUGUUAGUUAAUAUCGUUAAGGAACAUUAUCGAUUUUGUCAAGUAUACAUACAAAGACAAGAUAAUGAUUAAGUGAUAGAGUCAAGUAAAGGAUACGAAGAAGCAAUGGAGACAUUAUCAUCUUCAUCUACAUGCUUCUUGUUCUCUGGUUGCAAGGGCUUCCUCACGGGGAGAAGAGGAGCAUCACGCUGCAGAUAGAACAUUGAACAAACAGGUAAAGUCACAUCAUUUACACAUCUCAAACUACUUACAAAACAUAACGUUUGUCUUAAUUCUGAAAUGAGUUUUUACCUUUGAAACUUUAGGAGUUUUAGGCGAGCUUUGAGCUCCAGUUCUCUCGGCAGUUUCCACUUUUGGUUUAUUCUCUUCGGUGCAUUCCUUGACUUCGAUCUCUUCCUCAGUCUCAGACUCCGCAGCUGCAGCUAUCUUAGGAGCAACGUGAACCCUACCGCUUGAAACGCCGGCGUUUCGGUCCAUAAGCACCUCAACAACAACCUCUCUUCCCAUUCCACUACGGAACACAAAACCAAAGAGUCUCUCUUUUAGACAGAUUCUCAAAAACACAAUUCAAUUAUGAAAGAUCUCAAUCUUUAUAAAGGUUACAGCUUUGUCAAAGUUAGAUUGGUAAGGAACAAGGAUUGGUUCAAAGAGAUAGAGAGAGGGUCGCAGAAGAACAAUUCAAAAGUGGAAACCAACACGCAUUAACAAACCCAGAUGGAGAAAUAGUCAAAAAGAAAUAUUUUUAAAAUGUGAAUUUGAAAUCCAGGCGAUAGAGGAGGAGAUUCUUAAGGUUUUGUGAACAAUUUUAUAGAAAAGAAUCAGACUUUCAAGGAAGAACAGGGUGACAAAAAAAAUUGUGUUCUUACGAGUCUUGUAUAGGACCGGGGAGGGAUUCUUGUGCACCACCUCUGUCUCCGAACGCCCGUGAGAAUUUUGCAGACAAAAUUUGAAAUGAAUGUCUUUAUCCAGACCAAACUUGUCUCCCUCUCUUUCUCUCUCAAGAAAAAGAAGAAUUUUUAUUGGGUGGUGACUAUUUUGGAGAUGUGUUUGAUUUGUUAAGCUGUUUGGUUAUUUAUUGGUUCGAAAUUCAUUUAUUUUUAUUAUAAAAAAAUGAAUUUUGGCGCUUUACAUCACUUUGAUAAUUAGUUUCUAUAUACUCCAUAAGAUUCAUUCAUUUUCAUGCCAAUAUUUGAAGAAAUAUAUAUUCACCCUAAAUAUUGAAAAGCUCUUAGUUUAUUGAAAUAAAUAAAUAAAACCUACCUCUGUUGAUUAGUUUCAUUUUUUUUAAAUGUAUAGUUAGUAGUAGUAUACACAUUCUCUAUACUUAUCUUGAUAUAAAAGUUUAAUUACUAUAUUAUUUCUUUAAUUUCUUAAGUUUAAUUUUCUUUUAAGGAUAUCUAAUAAAGUUGUGACUUGACAAAAAUAAAAAUUGAUGACUAAUUGUCUAGAAGUAUAUUUACUAAAUCUAAAUAAUUAUCCUAAUCUAGAUGUACUAGCUUGAAUCCAGAUGUGUAGUCUUCUUAGUAAUCAGAUCCACUAUAAGCAACUUCUAACAACCAAAUGAAAAGGAAAUUCAAACUAAUCAUACAAUAACUAUCACGGCUUUGAAGCCACAAGACGGAAUAAAUACCAAUGUGACAAUGUUACUCGUUUAAAAAAAAUGUUUCCUGUCCUUCAGUUCAAACUUCAAGAGUAGUCCAUACUUUCCCUCGUUGCUUAGUUUAAAUUCUGCAGCUUUGUUAAAGUGCUGAGGUUGAAUACAGUAUGGCGUCUACCAUUGUACCUCGUAGACCAUACAAUUUGUUCUUAGACUUUUAGUAUACACAUGUAUGCGUAUACAUGUUCUUAUGAUCUAAUCAUUUCAAUUGUUUAUAACUCAUUUGGAAGCUAACAAUAUAUUAUAUAUGUAUAACAAUUCUGUAUAUUUGUUUCCUGGUUGUCAAUUCCAUAUCUUUGUAAUCUCUUUUCUAAAGCAAAUUACUUGAUACCACGCAUAUGAAGAGUGACCAACGAAACUGAAGUUUGUAACAGUAGUUUGUGAGAGUAGUAAUCUCUCUUCAAAAGCAAAUUACGUUCUUAAUGUAUUUUGCAGUGUUUGCCUUUUGUGAAAAAUAUGUUCUGUAAAAAAUAUGUUUUAUAAUCUAUUUCAAAGUUCAAACAAUGGACUUUUGAUUUCCGACAAAGUAGCUUUGAUGUAUCCGACAGAGACUAAAGUUAAUUUGAAUUAAUACUUAUUAUGUUGCUUCAAAUGCCAAAAAAAAAAAAAAACUUAUCUUUACUUUAUACUAAAUAACGAACAAAAAGAGUAGAGAAAAAUUUAGAAAAUGAUGCAAAUCUCAUUUUAAAAUCAUGUCAUAUCAAAUAAUAUGAAACAAACAAAAAACCACUAAAAUAUUUUGAAAACGGAUUAACAGUUGACUAACUUCAUUUAGUUUUUUUUUGUAACAAAUAAAAUUGUAAGAAGGAUGAGAAGAUGCGAAAAUUAAGUAAACAUCAAAGACCACUUUGUGCUAGGGAAGAAUCACUAAAGUGGGUAAGUAAGGAUGAGAAGAUGCGUCAAUGCGAUCAGAGGCAUUCACUAUCCACAUUAUCCAUAGUUCAUGCAUUUAACACAUAUAGAAGACUCACGGGUGAACCUGUAGUGUUAUUGGAGAGUGAAACAUCGAACAUGAUGAUUUCUCACUGGGUCCAGCACACACGAGGGUGCAUCUCUAUCUUUAUCUAGGGUUGGUGUUUUUCAGCCAACGUGGACCCGUUUAUUUCCUCGACCUCACCUUCACAGGAAUUUAUAUGAGGGAGGGAUAUCUCAGUAACGUUUUUCUUACGUAUUUGAUCAUUUAUUAGUAGAGUGUAAUCUAAAUUGAGUAAAAUAAGAGCUAAUUAAAAAUACUAUUACAUGCAUAUAGCGAGACAGUAUCCGUAUUCAAAUCAUUCUACAUGCUUUUUUGGCGACUUUUUGGUGAAAAUGUUAGUAACAAAUAAAUGUAAAAGUUAAAUUUAUUGCUAAACAAGCUUAAAAACCAUAAUAUUUUUGUACGAUAUAAAUUAGAGAAAAUUAUUGAUUUGGAUAAGAGAAGGAAUGGGUAUAUAUAGAUUGAAGAAGAAGAGAAAAAAAAAACGAUUUUUGAUGGAACUUAAACAAAUGAAACAAUCUAUUUUUGCGUUUGUUCCAUUUAUAUCAAUUAAAGUAAAAUUUAUUAUUUAUGUUUACUAUACAAAACUAUCAUUUAAUAGUAUUUAAUCAAUUUAGUUAUUUCAAUUAAGUUUUUAAAUUAUACAAAACUGUCUUAAAAAUAUUAAAAAUAUAUUUUUGUAGAACAAAUUUUUUUUAGAAAAUCUUACAUUUAAGAAUGGAGACAGAUCUAUUUUCACCACCAUUUUUCAAAAAAAAAAGUUUUAUUUUUAUUUUUAAACUAGUGUUUAAUUAUAUAUUUUUAGAAUCUGAGACUAGUGUUCUAAAAAUCGGUAUGGAUGGCGCAUAGGCAUCCCCUUAGUCAGCAAAUCAAACUUAAAUGUAAUGAUUUCUUAAAUGAUUUUUUUUUUAAAAUCAGUGUAAGUAUCCAUCUAAUCAGUAAUCUCAUACAAAAUAUUUAACUACCGCCUAACAAUUUCUUGAACAUUGGCCGAGAACAAUAACCCGAGCCACACAUUGUUAUAGAUUGUUUAUUAAGAAAAACUGAAAUCGAAAAUCCAUAUAGUUUAUGCAGACUAUAUGGCAAUGAAGAUCAACAUUUAUCAUUAGUUAAUUCAUUUUCAUCAAAGGUAGAACAAACAGAAAAAAUUUCAUCGAUUAUAAAAUUAAUUUUAUUGAUUGAUGCAGUUACAUGAAUUUAUUGAUGUAUUUUUUUUUUUUAGAUUUAGACAUGCAAUCGUCUAAUACAACUAGAUAUUGAUUGUUGGAGGACCUGGCGGAACAUGUCUACAUCUUCCCUCUGGGGGACAUCCCGGUUUGUACGGAUUUACUGGUUCCGGGGGUGGACACGUGCCAGGACUACAGCCAGGGGGACGAUCGCCACCACGUAUUGGUGGAUAUCCAAUAAAUUUUCCAGCUGCUGGGUUGCUGAUCAUAAACACACAUGCUGCUAUGAGUAUUGCAACGACCAUAACCCUAUUUGUUCCUUUUAGAUUGCUCAUGAUUUGUGUCAAAAUUAAAUGUUUACAGAAUAGCUUAUUAAGUGUUGUGCUAGUUGGUAUGAAGAGGGUUUUUAUAGUGUGUAUUUUUUUUGAAAAACAUAUCUAUCUAUAUAUGUUACUAUUUAAGAAUUUGCUUAUUUGUCAUUUUUUUCAUGAUUUUUAGAUAAAUCAUUAAUUUAAUUAUAUAUUUUUAUUUUGAUAUCUAUAUAUAUUUAUCAUGAUAUCUAAGAUAAUUAAUAAACAUUAACAUAUUCUAACAGUAUAUAUACUAUUAUUUAUAAAUAUAUAUAUACUUGUCAUCUUUUCUAUGAUCUUAGGAUAAAUCACUAAUUUAAUUAAUUUUUUUUUUGAUAUCUAUAUAUAUAUAUAUUUAUCAUAAUAUUUAAGAUAAUUAAUAAACAUUAACAUAUUCUAACAAUAUAUAUACUAUUAUUUAUAUAUAUAUAUAUAUUUAAUAUACUUAUCAUGAUAUUAAAUAAAAUUAAUUUAUAAAUAGAUAUUAACAAUAUCUACCUAUAAUAUCAUCUUUACUUAUAUCUUAUAUUUAGUUUAAAAUUUUAAUUACUAAUAUUACUAAUAUUAUAGCCAAUUUCUAUGAUUUUUAUCAAAAAUAUUGAUCAAAUACAAAUUAUUUGUUUAUUCAGUUUGAUCGCUUAAUAAACCAAUUAAACCUUUAUAUAGUAUAUAAGUAUACUAAUAUAUCUCAAUUAAUCGGUUUUAUUGGUUUAUUCGGUUUGACCGCUUAAUAUAUUGAACCAUAUUCAUAUACUACAGUUUCUUAAAAAUAACAUUCAUUCGGUUUAUUCGGAUCUGAACGUCAAAACGUUACUUUUGUAUAUAAUUAAGGAGUUAUGUAAUGGAAAAUUUACACAUUUUGAAAAAACAAGAUUACAGAUAAAGAGUGGUAUGAGUAAUUACGAUUUAUCGUAUAGUGUUGUACUUGCCAUUUGUUACAUUGCCAAUUGUUAGUUCUUUUUACUCUUAUAAAUGUGUAAAUUUUCCAUUACAUAAGUCCUUAAUUAUAUACAAAAGUACUCUUGUUGGUUAGUCCGUCCGGACUUACGACUAUUGGAUUUAAUUAAGACCAGUAUUAUGAAAUAUCGCAUUCAUUUGAUUCAACAUUAGAAGAUGUUGUUAGAGCGCAAAUUAUAAAACCGUGGACACCACUUGUAUUUUUCUUUCUUCAAAUCAAAUUCAGUCAUCUAAAAUAGUUCAGCGAACGGAGAUCAAGAACCAGAUCCUAGAGCUCUAACUAAAAACUUCAAACUAAAGCUUUAUAAUCUAGACAAAGUACUUAUCUUGACAAUCUGGGUAAAAAAUAUCACUGAGUUGUUUUUCUUACUUCUUCAGACGUUACAUGAAACUAGCUUUUACCAUUAAAAAUGGAUUAAUUGACUACUUUAUUUUGUUCUUGUUAAAAAAAAUUCAAGAGUUCAGGUUAGGAUGGGAAGAUGUUGCGGCGUCAAGGCGAUCAAAGCAAGGCACUCACUAUCCACAUUAUCCAAUAGCUCAUGCAUUUAAUACCUACAGAAGUCACACGGAUGAAACACCGAACAUGAUUUCUCACUGGGGUCCAGCCCACACGAGGGUGCAUCUCUAUCUCUUUUUUUUUUAUCUAGGGUUGAUGUUUUCGGCCAACGUGGACCCGUUUAUUUCCUCGAACACACACCUCUACUCUACAAGAAUAUAUAAACAGUAAGGAUCAACUAGCCAAAUGAAAUUUGGCUUAGCAAUUGACAAAUUAAAACACGGGUAUGGAGUUUAAUUUUUGGAAUGUUUUCCGGUGUUUUCGAGUUAUUUAAAGUAUUUUGUAAUUUAUGGCUUCUUGUCACUGAAAUACUAUUGUGCUAGUUAUGCAAUAAUAUUAGCUUAAUUUAAAUUAACAUGGUUUUCAGUAUACCAUAUAUAUAGGCAUCAGUUUUCUCACAGAAAAAUGCUUAUCGAACGUUUUAUUUAUCUGGGUCUUGACUGAUAAUUAGUGGAAUAAAAAAGUGGAAAUGAAAAUGUGAAAAUGAAAAUGUGAAAAUGAAAAGAAAGAAAACUGUCAAAUGAAACGUAACAUUUUCAUCUAACAAAAAUUGAAGGAACAUUUACCUCUAUUUUUUCACUUUGUUAUAGUAAAUGAGCUGAAAUGUUUCCACUUGAUUGAAUAAAAUCGGAAGAAACAGGCUGAAGUAAAAUUUCACUUACUUUACUUUACACUAAUGAUGUCAUACAGCCAGAAUAAAUGUUUUCUUACAUAUUCCAGAAGAAACAGGUUUUCUUACAUAUUCCAUUAUUUAUUAAUUAGUAGAGUGUAAUGUAACUAAAUCAAGUAACAUAAGUUAAUAAAAAGACCAUUACGUAUAACGAGUCACUAUGUGGAUUCAAAUAUUUCUAUGUUAUUAACAAAAUAAAUGUCAAUUCUAAAAUUAUUUAUAAACAAGCUUAAAAACCAGAAAAUUUGAACGAUACAAAUUAUUGAAGUAUUACGUGUUGUAUGAAUUUCAUCUAUUUAUUUUUCAUUUUUAAUAUUUAUAAUAUUCAUAAGAAAUGGUACGUUGGGAGUAUUUUUUUUGUUUAAUAAAUUUUACUUAUUGCAUAUAUUUAUAUAACCACGUAUAUAUGUAUAUAGUACUUUCCCUCUAGAUCAAGAUGAAGUCAUUGUCAAAUUGACUUUCAAUUUUUAGGUCAGAUUCUUCAAUUGUAAUCAUGCAUGGGCAUGAUGAUGUUUAGCAAUUAACGAUGUUGAUGAUCAUUAUAUGCUUUUAUAAUUUGAAUGAGAAAUUGUUUUAUAAUCAAGCUAAUAUUAUUGUGCCCCUUCUUGAUUGUACUAAUAACCAUAUUUUAACCACCCCCUCCCAAAAAAAAAAAUUGACGACAUGGGUGUAUGACAUGUUUUCGUCAUAUCACAUGGUUGGCCAUUUAAUAUAUAUAUAGCAAAAAUAAACUUGGAAUUUCUAUGUGAUUUUGAAGGCUUUUUUCCUGUUUUCGUAAUCGGGUGUGGUAAAACACGAGUACAUUUUUUGUGUUAACUUAUGUCGAGAGAUUUAAACGUGAUGUGCACAUUUCAAAACCGUUUUAAUCUAAACACUGUAAAGAAACCAUAUAUAAUACCACUAUCACACUACGGUAUUUAAAUGUUUGCGACAAAAUAACGACUGAUGUCUGAUGAGAAACUGAAGUUUUCUUAUCGACUAAUCCCCGAAACAGUGAAGUUUAAAGAGUUUAUAUAUGUUUCCCUAUAAGAUUGUACAAUGUUGUAGAAAUAAAGUGUCUAGCUUUCGUUCUCUCAACCAAUUAAUCGGUUCCAUAGACAUUUCGCCUAGAAACAGAGGUUCCUAAUAUCAUUUGCCGUCAUUUUCUACGUGUUUGUUCUGUAUUUUCAUAAAUGGUCAACUGUCUAGCCUAUUGUACUGUGUAGUUACUCAUGUUUAAUAUAGCACUAGAUUUAUCCCAACAUUAUAUCAUAUCCUAAGCAUCGAUCAGAAGGGAAUGUUUGCUUAUUACAUACAUAGUGCAAGUAAUCUGAAACGGGUAAAUGAAUAUUCACAUUUACAUGAAUAAAUAUACCUUAAUCUCUAGUUUUCCUUUUGACUUCACAGUAGUUAACAAACAAGACAGAAGCACAUGGAGGAACCAUACUACGAAAACGCUAUGGUAGACCAAGACUUUAGUUUAAUAAAUUCCUUAAAUUUUAUUUAUUUCAAUUAUUUUUGUCGGCAUUAUUAUAUCAAAAUUAUUAAUUUACAUUAAAAUAAGGCAAGCAUAUCACUUGUGAAUGGCGGGCCCCAUAAGAAAGACAACGAAUCCAUGGAAUCAAAACACAUGUUUGAAGCUGACAACUUUCCCAUCUAUGGGUCCCAUACUGUCUUAGCUGUCAUUUUAUUCUAAUUUUAAUUUAAAUAGAUAUAAAAAAUCCGACAAAACAACACUCUUUUGUUAAUAUUAUUGGUUUAUCUUUUCUUCUGUAGUUGACAAAAAAAAAUCUUUUCUUCUGUAUUGUUUCAAUAAGUUUGAUUGCAUUUUAUAAACUAAAUGUAUAAUUUAAAACGGAUUAGUUAAAGCACUAAAUGAGAGAAAUACAAAAUAAAAUAAAAACCUAAAAAUAUGGAACAGAAAGAAGAAAAACUGCACCAACUUGGCCUUUGUCCACUGGCUUGGAUUAUUCCGGUAAUGUGACGCCAUUCAUGACAUCAUUAUCUCUCGACAACACUCUUUACGGUCCAACCAAUCCCAGCAUUCACGUGGCAGCAUCUCACCCGUUCAAACAAUAAUCCACAACAAUGAAUUCGAUUAUAUUUUAUACCCACACGAUCCAAUAUUUAGCCCUUUGUUUCAAACACAUCUCACAUCCUUCUGUCUCUCUCUCCUCAAACGUUUUAGUAUUUGAAAGAAUAAAUCAAAAGAACCAAAAAAACCUAGAAACAAGACAAUCUUUGUUCUCAUCUCGUUUUCUGCUCACCUAAUUUAUUACUUAUUGCUAAUCAGUAUCAAGCAAGAUGAUCAAUUUUGAGGCGACGGAGCUGAGGUUAGGGCUGCCGGGUGGCAAUCACGGAGGAGACAUGGCCAUGAAAAAUAAUGGGAAACGAGGAUUUUCUGAGACCGUUGAUCUCAAACUGAAUCUUUCAUCCACGGCUUUGGAUUCGGUUUCCGGAGUUGAUUUAGAGAAUAUGAAGGAGAAGGUCGUAAAACCACCAGCCAAGUACGAAACUAAACUUUUAUCUAUAUUCCUAUUAAUGUGUAUUCACGAUCCUCUAAAGUAGAAGUAGUGAUAUAUAUGAAUGUAUUGAAAUAAUUAGAUUAUCUGUGAACAGAUUAGGAAAUAGAUAACACGAGCCGGUUAUGGGUUAUCUGAGAUAGGCUUUAACACGCUGAAUGAUUACGCUAAUUAGAGCAGCUAUGCAAAUUAUUCUCUAGAGAUCUGUCAUUUUUUUAGUUUUGCUCCAUGUUUUCAACAGUUUUCACAUAAUAUUAUUUAAAUGUGUGAUUAAUAAUAGCCAAUAAUAAAGCUAGGUUGAUGAGUGUAAUGUUUGAAGGUUUGGUCGGGAAGAAUGAAGAAAAAUACAAAACAUAAGGAAUCUUUACUUUAUCUACGUAAACUAAAUUAAUAUUUGGACAACUACAUCCACCUAACAUCCGACACGUGUUAAGCAACUAGAUGAUUUUACAUACUUUUUAUUAAAUACGCUAAUUAAUUUAUUUUUUUGUUCAAAAAUACGCUAAUUAAUAUAAUUGAAAUUAUCAACUAAAAAUAAUUACGGAAUUUCAGGGCACAAGUUGUGGGAUGGCCACCGGUACGAUCUUUCCGGAAGAACGUCAUGUCAGGCCAAAAGCCAACCGCUGGAGAUGCCACCGAAGGAACGGAAAAGACUUCCAGCAGCAACGGAGCCACCUCCUCUGCCGCAGCUUACGUGAAGGUUAGCAUGGACGGCGCACCGUACCUAAGAAAAAUUGAUUUGAAACUUUACAAAACAUAUCAAGACCUCUCCGACGCCUUAAGCAAAAUGUUC
rnacentral:lncRNA from 1 species